ACACUACCUGGCAGGGCUGAUAGCAUGAUCAAGAAGGUGGUUUGCCCAAGGCCAGGCUCAGCUAUUGCACCCUAGCUGUGCUGAGCCUUGUGAAUUCCCCAAAUGUGUGAAACCUGCCUGCAUAAGCUCUCUAUCAGUGGAGGGCUGUUUUCGCACUCUUACCCU